AUGGGUGAGUCACCCCCAGCCUAACUAGGCUCAACGUGUUGAACAGGCUGCAGGUGUGUGCACAGCGUGGACCCGCAGUGCUGCGCUCUGUGGCACAGUCAAAGGGGACAGGAUUUGCCCUGGGAGAAUCCUGCUCUGUGGCCCCUGAGAUGCCUGUGUCUGAGGAAGGGGAGGAGCAGGAAGGAGAUUAGAAGGUUGAGGAACCAAAUCAAGAUUCCUGCUUCCAGGCUGUGCUGACACGUUCACCCAUGGUGUUGUUCUGAGGAACAGGAUCAUCUGCAGCAGAAAAAGGAGGUCCACAGAGAUGAAGAGUGUGGUCUGUCAACACAAG
rnacentral:lncRNA from 1 species